AGAGUUUGAUCCUGGCUCAGGAUGAACGCUGGCGGCGUGCUUAACACAUGCAAGUCGAACGAACCUUCGGGUUAGUGGCGGACGGGUGAGUAACGCGUGAGAAUCUGCCCUCAGGAGGGGGAUAACGGUUGGAAACGACCGCUAAUACCCCAUAUGCCGCGAGGUGAAAUGAAUUUCGCCUGAGGAUGAGCUCGCGUCUGAUUAGCUAGUUGGUGGGGUAAAGGCCUACCAAGGCAUCGAUCAGUAGCUGGUCUGAGAGGAUGAUCAGCCACACUGGGACUGAGACACGGCCCAGACUCCUACGGGAGGCAGCAGUGGGGAAUUUUCCGCAAUGGGCGAAAGCCUGACGGAGCAACGCCGCGUGAGGGAUGAAGGCCUCUGGGCUGUAAACCUCUUUUAUCAAGGAAGAAGAUCUGACGGUACUUGAUGAAUAAGCCACGGCUAAUUCCGUGCCAGCAGCCGCGGUAAUACGGGAGUGGCAAGCGUUAUCCGGAAUUAUUGGGCGUAAAGCGUCCGCAGGCGGCCCUUCAAGUCUGCUGUUAAAAAGUGGAGCUUAACUCCAUCAUGGCAGUGGAAACUGUUGGGCUUGAGUGUGGUAGGGGCAGAGGGAAUUCCCGGUGUAGCGGUGAAAUGCGUAGAUAUCGGGAAGAACACCAGUGGCGAAGGCGCUCUGCUGGGCCAUCACUGACGCUCAUGGACGAAAGCCAGGGGAGCGAAAGGGAUUAGAUACCCCUGUAGUCCUGGCCGUAAACGAUGAACACUAGGUGUCGGGGGAAUCGACCCCCUCGGUGUCGUAGCCAACGCGUUAAGUGUUCCGCCUGGGGAGUACGCACGCAAGUGUGAAACUCAAAGGAAUUGACGGGGGCCCGCACAAGCGGUGGAGUAUGUGGUUUAAUUCGAUGCAACGCGAAGAACCUUACCAGGGUUUGACAUCCUGCGAAUCUCUUGGAAACGAGAGAGUGCCUUCGGGAACGCAGUGACAGGUGGUGCAUGGCUGUCGUCAGCUCGUGUCGUGAGAUGUUGGGUUAAGUCCCGCAACGAGCGCAACCCACGUCUUUAGUUGCCAGCAUUUAGUUGGGCACUCUAGAGAGACCGCCGGUGAUAAACCGGAGGAAGGUGUGGAUGACGUCAAGUCAUCAUGCCCCUUACAUCCUGGGCUACACACGUACUACAAUGCUACGGACAAAGGGCAGCAAGUUCGCGAGGACAAGCAAAUCCCGUAAACCGUGGCUCAGUUCAGAUCGUAGGCUGCAACUCGCCUACGUGAAGGAGGAAUCGCUAGUAAUCGCAGGUCAGCAUACUGCGGUGAAUACGUUCCCGGGCCUUGUACACACCGCCCGUCACACCAUGGAAGUUGGCCACGCCCGAAGCCGUUACUCCAACCCUCGGGAGGAGGACGUCGAAGGUGGGGCUGAUGACUGGGGUGAAGUCGUAACAAGGUAUCCGUACCGGAAGGUGCGGAUGGAUCACCUCCUAA
rnacentral:rRNA from 1 species